GACCCGGUAGUGAAGGCUCGGAGAAAGGCAGGCUGGGUCCGCCUGGCAGCCUACCGGAGAAGGCGGGUAGCAAGCCGAGGCAAAGGGAGACAGAAGAGCGGCUGGCCGAGGGGAGGGGAGAAUGGACAGGAAGGACUGGAGGAGAAGGGAGCCCUGGCAGCCUCUGGCCCGGGCGUCCUCGGCCCCUUCUCCGGGCUCCGAAGUGCUUACAACCUGGCUUCUUCCUGCUGCCCCAGGCUCCAGAAGAAGGAGGGAGAGAGCAUCCAAGAGCAUCUGCAGCCUGGGCAGGGCAAGUCCUCUGGCGUGAGAUUUCUGCGGGGAGAAUGCGUCCGGACUUGGUGCGGAGGGAGUUGACUGCAAGUGAAAGCGGAUCAUUAAGUAAUGGAAGUGAACAGCAUCUGAAACUACAUUCUGACCAUUAUUUGACUAUAUGAUAGUCAACACGGCACUGGAAUGACUGUGUCUGAUGGCCUUUCCAUUUGCAUCCUUUCUUGUACUUUUGAUCCCUGUGAGUGGAUUCUAUCACUAAGCACAUCAUGUACGAAGGCCACUGUGGGCAUUAGCAAAUGAAGUUAAAGGAGCUUAUAAAGUAAUAAAGACAAGUACUGUAUGUAUUGGAUAGGUGCCAAUAGCUAAAGUCUAUCAUAAAGCAAACUGCUUAAAAUGACCUCAGAUACAAAAGACCAAACAACCAUGGGGCAUUACCUCAAUUGCUUCUUAGAUGCUUGCUGAUGUGUUAAGAGUUCCUGUGAAGAAAACCCCGGGUAACUGAAGGAUCAGCACGGGUAUAAGUGAUCUGCCAAAUGACUCAUGGUUAAUCACCAUUAGCAAGUGUAAGUGAACAUCUGUGUGUAUGCUUACAUAUACCCAUCCAUAGAAACACACAAAUGAAAGACAACAGAAACAGAGAUUCUCCUUAUUCAAUUGAGAUAUAUAAUCAGUCAUUUGACAGCCAUCUAUUAGCUGUCUACUAUGUGUCUAGGCAUUGUGUUACAUACUACAUACACAAAGACAAAGUCACACAGCCCCUGCCAUCAAGGAGUUAUAUUACAUUUGGAGAUAAAUGUUGCAAAUAUAUGAAGAGUAGGCAGUACUGGAAAAGAUAUAGGUCUGAUUGCAAAAAGGCAUGAGUUCAAGUCCAGGCUUUACUAUUAAUAAGUUAUGUGACCUUCAGCAUGUUAUUUCAAAUCCCCGGUUCUCAGUUUCAUCAUAUAUAAAACAAUGGAGCUGAACUAGAUGACCUAAAAUUCAGUGAUUCUGUGGCAGCCAGAAGAUAAUAGGUAUAUCCAAUCUGGAAAAGCUAGUGAGUCUCCAACAUAAUCUUGAAGACAAGAAGAAACAAGGAUUGGAUGAUGGGUCGGUGGUCACGCUUCAAUCAAUCAGAGUUGUCCUAACUCAGUGAAUGUACUGAGGAUCUUAAGGGAUGCUGCAGAAAGGACUCUUUAUAUCUAAAAAUAAGCAUAAGUAUCUGAUAUCUUUUGAACCUGUUAUCAUUUCUUUGGGGUAUAAUAUUCUACGCCAGAAGUACUUACUAAGAUGUAACUUCCUUGUAAAAUACUAAGUUAAUAUUGGCCAAUCAAACCUUAUUUUGAAUUGUCUAACAACUAGCAAGUCUUGAGGUAAUGGGAAACAAAUUUAGAUGAGGAAAAAAGAGGACAGAACUAGAGCAAGGUCUACUUCUUUUUAAAAAGAAGGUCCUAUAUAGAUAUACCUGGUCCCUCAGGGGCAGCCGGAGGGAAUAAGUACCUGAAAUAGAGAUGGGUGCAUCUUUGGGAGGGGGAGGAAGGACAAAGGAACAGAAAGGGGAGGUAGAGGGCAAACUUUGUCUUUGCAAUCUGUGUACUAAAAUUUCUUUUUAUUUUAAGAUUAGUAUGUAAGGCAGCCUUUGUUGGCAAAUAUUUAAAUAAUUUUUUAGUGUAAUGGGAAGGAGUGUGUUUUCCUAGAUUGAGUGUUUGACUUGGAGUCAGGAAGACCUGCAUUCCAUCCUGCCUCAGUCGCUUACUUAUUAGUAAUUAGUAAUUAGUGAUCGUAGACAAGUCCCUAACCCUUCUGAUACUUAGUUUCUUCAUCUGUAAAAUAAGGGAGUUGGACUCAGUGAUCUCCAAGGUCUCCUCCAGCUCUACAUUUAUGAUUCUAUGACUAGGAUUCAGAAAGAGAAAUAGUAGGCCCCGGUUCUCUGUACAUAAUAGGCACUUAAUUGAUGAAAUGAACUUAAAAAAAAUGUAGUGGAGAGAACACCGAAACCAAUUGUGAUGCUCCCUAGCCAAGGCCAGUUAUAAAACCUCUCUGAAUCUCAGGUUUUUUUUUUUUGUAAAAUGGGAAUAGUACUUGAACUACCUGCCUCACAAGUUCGUGAGGAAAUACUCAAAUGAUCUGUGACGUCAUUAAUAUGGAUGUUUCCUCCAACAAUGGAGACGGAAACCUAUCCAUGCCUAUUCACCCUGUGCAGCUCUUGCACCUUUCUUCCCGUAAGUUCACCACAAGAGGUCCACCCAUAGUGAUGGGACCCUCCCUUGCUUUCUCUAGAAAAUUCAAGGAUACCUGUGGGAGUCUCGGAGGCUUUCCAUUGGGUCUCAUUCAUUUUCCACUAGUUACCAAAUAUCUUCUUUGUGGUCAUAUAUUUCAUUUUAUGGUGUCAUUUGCUUCAGCUCUAUUUUGUAAUAUUUAUGUUGUAUGUGCUUUUGCAUGCUCAUACCAAACCUCUACAUGAAGUUGAAUUAUAACAGCUCAUGGAUUAGCUAAAUAACAUAUGAUUAUAUAGUAUAUAGCUCAUUUAAUUCUUGACAAAAAAACUAAAGAACUUUUUUAUCAAUUGUAACAUAGUAUUGGUAAAAUAACUUUUUUUAAAAACAAUGUGGUCCAUUGGUGGUUGAGAUAGCUGUCAAAAAUUCUUGACAUUAUUUAUACAUUUAAGAGUCUUCACCCCUUCACUUCACCCUCCAUCCCCUUUACCAAGGAAAAGUGGUCUUAUUUUUAUAUAUAGAUAUGUAUGCAUAUAGAUGUAUAGCUUGUACAUAAUAGAUACUUAAUGCUUGUUGUUGUUGUUUUUUUUUAACCAACAACCCCAGCUACAGUUUUGCCUCCUACAGGAAACCUUGAUGCUUUCUCCCUCUUUACAUUAUUUUGUGUAUACUCAUCCAUUUCCCAGUUGCAUCUUAACCUUCCCUCUCUAAUGUAAUAGAACCUCUUUGAGGGGGAGGAGCUAUCUUUUUUUUCUUUGUUACCCUAGGACUAGGCUUUACACAUUAUAGGUUCUUAAAUAAAUGCAUGUUAUAUAGAAAGGUCUUAUACUAAUAUGAUCAUAGGAUUUUUUUAAAGAGAGGAAAAACUGCCAUAUAUCAUUGACAAUGGAUUUUCAGUGAUUUUUUUGUAUUUUUGAAUGAAAAGAUGUAAAAGAUUGGGUUAGAAGGAAUCAAAAGGCAAUUAAAAUUCUAAAUACAAUAUCUGCAUAGUACUUCCAUAAUUAUUGUUCACUGACAUUAUGUAAGUUGGCACUAUUGUAAUUGAAGCUUUAUACAACUAUAUUGAAAUUACUGUAUUUGCAUUACAAAUCACAAUAUUAUUUAACAUUUAGUUUCUACAUUUUAUUUGAAACUAUAAGUAAGGGUCAACUUCAGGGUCUCUAAGAUUGCUAAAAAAGAGAAAAAAUGUGUAAAGGUUUGUAUAGUCCCGGAUUUUCAGUUUGAAAUGAAUGUUUAAGUGCAUUUUUAAAAAUACUUAUGAAAUAUAAUGUUCCAGAUGAUCCUUGAUUCAUUCUAAGGUUUUCUUUUAUUUUAAGUAUGAUCUUGUUCCCACUUGUCCUUUAAUUGCCAUUUACUUUGAUGAUGUACCUCCUAUACUUCUGUUGCAAAGCUAUUCAGUACGAAACUGUAUUAAGGUAUGAUAAGGAGAACAACUUGGAGGUCAAAACCUUCCCUGUUGACAAAGACAGUGCGGGAAAUGCUGUAAAAAUACAUUUUAUAAAAUCUCUUAAAGUACACAUUUGCAAGAGAGCUGCUUAGAAAGUAUAACAGCUUGAGAGUGUGAUCAUUAUAAACUCACAAAUGAAUGAAUGUCUUAUGAAAAAGUGGUGUUAGGCUAGGCUUUAGACACUGUUGGGCCCAUGUAAAAUUAUGGAAGAUGUGAAGUUUGCUUUCAUCCCCCCUCUACUUUUCGAUACUUAGUAGUUUUGAUUCCCCCUUUCAGAUACCUAGUGCCUUCAUAAUCUUCCUCCACCUACUCAUCAAAACAUUUUCUGAUGAUAGCCUGUGGAAUUGAGCCAUUUAUGUUCUAAUAGGAAUUAAUUUGGUUCUGUAUUACCUUUCCAUAUAUUUUAAUCCAGAAACGAUCUUCUGUUAAAGUAAUUUCAGUUAUCACCCACUAAACUGGGAAACAUUUAUUUGUUUUGUUUUAUUUCUUAGUCAGAAAUCUAUCUUUAUACCAAGUAAGCUUGUUCCUAAACCAGCCCUGACCUGUGCAGAAAUAUCCAUAGCAAAUAGCCCUCCUAUAUUUUCCUUCUUCAUAAGACUUCCCCUCCUCAUUUUUCUUUAUCCACCAAAGCUCGUCUUUUUAUGUACCUGACUAAACCAACCUAUGUUAAUAUAAUUGUGACAAUGAUAGUGGCUCAGUGUCUUGCCCCUAUGUGGUAAUAUAUUUUCAUUGUAGUAUUUUUUUUCUUGAGUCAGGACCUUUCUCCAAAUGGGCUCUUUGAAUGGUGAAGGUUUAAAGUUUUGUAGUAGGCUGAUGGAACAAAUAUUUUGUAUGUCUGUAUUUCCCCCUUGUCCACUCCCAUCAAAUCGCACCAUAAAAUGCAUACCAAGUGGGGUUGUCAAAUGAGCUGGCACUUAUAAGUAUCCUAUUCCCAAAAUACCACAUGAGUACCACCAUCUCCUUUCUCAAAAGCUUAAAGAACUCUGUUUCUACAGCCAGAUCAAAAAAUGUAUGGGUUUAUAUAAAUUGAUUAGAGAGAGGAACUCCUGGGCCAUACGAAGAGCUAGCCAAAAACAAAAUGAUAACAGUGGUGGAGUAACAAAGGGGUUUUUGAACCAACCUUCCUAGGCCUAGAAGAUGAGUUCCUAGACAAUGCUAAAUUCCAAGACCAACCAGGGUCUGGACCUGAGUUUUAGUAAAAGCUUUGAAGGACAAACAUGUAUCUUGCCCUUCAUUGGUAUUAUGAAUUAUGUAGCCUGUAGAGGGAAAGGGUAUUGAACUUUUAAGUUUGGGUGGAGAUGCUAUUAUAAUACCAUAUGUCUGGGACAAUAUCUAGGUCCCUGAGGUAUGUGGAUCUCCUUGUGAAAGGAAACAAGUGUUUUUACUGUUAAUGUGCUUGUAAGUCCUUUGUGUUUUCUGCAAAAUGAAAUAAAGCCUGUUAUAUAUUCCA